rnacentral:rRNA from 1 species
AGCGAACGCUGGCGGCAGGCCUAACACAUGCAAGUCGAACGAACCUUUCGGGGUUAGUGGCGGACGGGUGAGUAACACGUGGGAACGUGCCUUUAGGUUCGGAAUAACUCAGGGAAACUUGUGCUAAUACCGAAUGUGCCCUUCGGGGGAAAGAUUAAUCGCCGUUAGAGCGGCCCGCGUCUGAUUAGCUAGUUGGUUGAGGUAAUGGCUCACCAAGGCGACGAUCAGUAGCUGGUCUGAGAGGAUGAUCAGCCACAUUGGGACUGAGACACGGCCCAAACUCCUACGGGAGGCAGCAGUGGGGAAUCUUGCGAAAUGGGCGAAAGCCUGACGCAGCCAUGCCGCGUGAAUGAUGAAGGUCUUAGGAUUGUAAAAUUCUUUCACCGGGGACGAUAAUGACGGUACCCGGAGAAGAAGCCCCGGCUAACUUCGUG